UGGGGAAUUUUGGACAAUGGGCGCAAGCCUGAUCCAGCCCAUGCCGCGUGCGGGAAGAAGGCCUUCGGGUUGUAAACCGCUUUUGCAGGGAGAAAUCUUCUGAGUUAAUACCUCGAGAGGAUGACGGUACCUGAAGAAUAAGCACCAGCUAACUACGUGCCAGCAGCCGCGGUAAUACGUAGGGUGCAAGCGUUAAUCGGAAUUACUGGGCGUAAAGCGUGCGCAGGCGGUUUUGUAAGACAGAGGUGAAAUCCCCGGGCUCAACCUGGGAACUGCCUUUGUGACUGCAAGGCUUUGAGUGCGGGCAGAGGGGGGAUGGAAUUCCGCGUGUAGCAGUGAAAUGCGUNGAUAUGCGGAGGAACACCUGGCGAAGGCAAUCCCCCUGGGGCCUGCANUGACGCUCAUGCACGAAAGCGUGGGGAGCAAAACAGGAUUAGAUACCCUGGUAGUCCACGCCCUAAACGAUGUC
rnacentral:rRNA from 1 species